rnacentral:piRNA from 1 species
UAACUGUGCCAUAUAAUCUUCCCAUCAAGG